AAGUCGUAACAAGGUUUCCGUAGGUGAACCUGCGGAAGGAUCAUUACCGUGGAGAUUCGUCUCUAUUGGGAUAGCACCCUUUGUUCACGAGUACUCUCUGUUUCCUCGGCGGGCUCGCCCGUCAGAGGACCGUCGCAAACCCUCAUGUAGUAGGCAGUACCUUCAGCAAAACAGACAAACAAUCAAAACUUUCAACAACGGAUCUCUUGGUUCUG
rnacentral:misc_RNA from 1 species